AGCCCCGUGGUGGAGUACACACUAGAUUGCAAAUCUUGAGACGCAGAUUGACGUCUGCCGGGGCUU
rnacentral:tRNA from 1 species